AUUGAACGCUGGCGGCAUGCCUUACACAUGCAAGUCGAACGGUAACAGGUCUUCGGAUGCUGACGAGUGGCGAACGGGUGAGUAAUACAUCGGAACGUGCCUAGUAGUGGGGGAUAACUACUCGAAAGAGUGGCUAAUACCGCAUGAGAUCUACGGAUGAAAGCAGGGGAUCGCAAGACCUUGUGCUACUAGAGCGGCCGAUGGCAGAUUAGGUAGUUGGUGGGAUAAAAGCUUACCAAGCCGACGAUCUGUAGCUGGUCUGAGAGGACGAUCAGCCACACUGGGAAUGAGACACGGCCCAGACUCCUACGGGAGGCAGCAGUGGGGAAUUUUGGACAAUGGGCGCAAGCCUGAUCCAGCAAUGCCGCGUGCAGGAUGAAGGCCUUCGGGUUGUAAACUGCUUUUGUACGAACGAAAAGCCCUGGGUUAAUACCCUGGGGUCAUGACGGUACCGUAAGAAUAAGCACCGGCUAACUACGUGCCAGCCGCCGCAGUAA
rnacentral:rRNA from 1 species